UGGGGAAUAUUGCACAAUGGGCGAAAGCCUGAUGCAGCAACGCCGCGUGAGUGAUGAAGGCCUUCGGGUUGUAAAGCUCUGUCUUUUGGGACGAUAAUGACGGUACCAAAGGAGGAAGCCACGGCUAACUACGUGCCAGCAGCCGCGGUAAUACGUAGGUGGCAAGCGUUGUCCGGAUUUACUGGGCGUAAAGGAUGCGUAGGCGGAUUUUUAAGUGAGAUGUGAAAAACCCUAAGCUUAACUUGGGGACUGCAUUUCAUACUGGAAAUCUAGAGUGCGGGAGAGGAGAAUGGAAUUCCUAGUGUAGCGGUGAAAUGCGUAGAGAUUAGGAAGAACACCAGUGGCGAAGGCGAUUCUCUGGACCGUAACUGACGCUGAGGCAUGAAAAGCGUGGGUAGCAAAACAGGAUUAGAUACCCCUGGUAGUCCACGCCGUAAAACGAUGAGUACUAGGUGUAGGAGGUAUCGA
rnacentral:rRNA from 1 species